rnacentral:rRNA from 1 species
AUGCAAAGAACUUUGAAAAGAGAGUUAAAGAGUACCUGAAAUUGCUGAAAGGGAAGCGAAGGAAACCAGUGUUAGUUGCGUCAUAUUUCCCCAGUUGCUUGCAGCUGGGGCGCUGUGGCCAGCGUUGUCACGCUUGGUUGGUUGCGCCGGAUGCUUUGGCGGGGGAGUUUAUACCCCGUCUAUUUGCGGUGCGAUUGACUGAGCGUGUCGAAAUGGUUUUCUUUUCCCCGUCUAGAAACACGGACCAAGGAGUCUAACAUAUGUGCGAGUACAGGGGUGUCAAUCUCUUGUGCGCAAUGAAAGUGACAGUGGCUGGAACGUUUUGUUGCACAGUCCGCCGGCCAUAAUCCCUCGGGAGAACGGUCUGAGUGUGAGCAUACAUGUUGGGACCCGAAAGAUGGUGAACUAUGCCUGAAUAGGGUGAAGCCAGGGGAAACUCUGGUGGAGGCUCGUAGCGAUUCUGACGUGCAAAUCGAUCGUCAAAUUUGGGUAUAGGGGCGAAAGACUAAUCGAACUAUCUAGUAGCUGGUUCCCUCCGAAAUUUCCCUCAGGAUAGCUGCGAUCGAAUAUCAAUUUUAUCA